CCUACGGGCGGCUGCAGUGGGGAAUAUUGCACAAUGGGGGAAACCCUGAUGCAGCGACGCCGCGUGAGUGAAGAAGUUUUUCGGUAUGUAAAGCUCUAUCAGCAGGAACGAGACAAGACGGUACCUGACUACGAAGCCUCGGCUAACUACGGGCCAGCAGCCGCGGGAAUACGUAGGGGGCAAGCGUUAUCCGGAAUCACUGGGUGUAAAGGGAGCGUAGGCGGCUGUGCAAGCCUGAAGUGAAAGGCGGGGGCCCAACCCCGGGACUGCUUUGGGAACUGGACGGCUGGAGUGCAGGAGAGGUAAGUGGAAUUCCUGGUGUAGCGGUGAAAUGCGUAGAUAUUAGGAGGAACACCAGUGGCGAAGGCGGCUUACUGGACUGUAACUGACGUUGAGGCUCGAAAGCGUGGGGAGCAAACAGGAUUAGAUACCCUAGUAGUC
rnacentral:rRNA from 1 species